AGGACGAACGCUGGCGGCGUGCUUAACACAUGCAAGUCGAGCGGAAAGGCCCUUCGGGGUACUCGAGCGGCGAACGGGUGAGUAACACGUGAGCAACCUGCCCUUAGCUCCGGGAUAGUUCCGGGAAACCGGAAUUAAUACCGGAUAUGACCUAGGCCGACAUCGGCUGUGGUGGAAAGUUUUUCGGCUGGGGAUGGACUCGCGGCCUAUCAGCUUGUUGGUGGGGUAAUGGCCUACCAAGGCGACGACGGGUAGCCGGCCUGAGAGGGCGACCGGCCACACUGGGACUGAGACACGGCCCAGACUCCUACGGGAGGCAGCAGUGGGGAAUCUUGCGCAAUGGGCGAAAGCCUGACGCAGCGACGCCGCGUGGGGGAUGAAGGCCUUCGGGUUGUAAACCCCUUUCAGCAGGGACGAAGCGAAAGUGACGGUACCUGCAGAAGAAGCGCCGGCUAACUACGCGCCAGCAGCCGC
rnacentral:rRNA from 1 species